CCUACGGGAGGCAGCAGUGGGGAAUCUUGCGCAAUGGGCGAAAGCCUGACGCAGCAACGCCGCGUGCGGGAAGAAGGCUUUCGGGCUGUAAACCGCUUUCAGCAGGAACGAAAAUGACGGUACCUGCAGAAGAAGGAGCGGCCAACUAUGUGCCAGCAGCCGCGGUGAUACAUAGGCUUCAAGCGUUGUCCGGAUUUAUUGGGCGUAAAGAGUUCGUAGGCGGUCGAGUAAGUCGGGUGUGAAAAUUCUGGGCUCAACCCAGAGACGCCACCCGAUACUGCUUAACUUGAGUUCGAUAGGGGAGUGGGGAAUUCCUAGUGUAGCGGUGAAAUGCGCAGAUAUUAGGAGGAACACCGGUGGCGAAGGCGGCACUCUGGAUCGAUACUGACGCUGAGGAACGAAAGCAUGGGUAGCAAACAGGAUUAGAUACCCUGGUAGUCCAUGCCGUAAACGGUGGGCACUAGGUGUGGGAUUCUAUUAACGAAUUCCGCGCCGUCGCUAACGCAUUAAGUGCCCCGCCUGGGGAGUACGGUCGCAAGACAAAACUUAAAGGAAUUGACGG
rnacentral:rRNA from 1 species